rnacentral:misc_RNA from 1 species
CAUACUUUGAGUCUGGUUGAAAGAAUGUAGACAUUGACAAUAGCUAUGGGAAUUGGAAAUCAUGAUGGGGAACCAGACUACUGAAAGAUUGAGGAGUUUACGUACUGUGCAUGUACAUUCCUCCAUGAUAUACCCGAAUGCUUAAGCGGUCAGCCACAAUUCAUAACACCUCUUGACAAGUUUGCACCCUUCAGUGGUACCUUUUAUGUGGAAAUAAUAGCUUAAUCGCUGAAAUCACCGGUUUGUGACGGAAAAAAAUAAAGUCCGUUGGGUUUUUAGCAGUUUAGGGAAGCAAGAUCUGGCGACGCCACUGCACAUGAGUUAGCAGGCUACUGCACAGGUUUAACAGAGACUUAUUAGUGGAGUGAUGAAGACUGUGGCCAGUAUAUGCAUGGUGCUGAAGGUGAUGGCUAUCAUGCCUACAUGGAUGCAAACUGGGGUCGUUAGUGUACCAGUGGCAAAAUUGGCGUGCGAAGUAAACAGCAUAGAUACCAAUUUUUGGUAUGAAUGCUCAAGGCAAAUGGAAGAACCCUGUGUUCUAGGCAGGCACCUUAAAAUCCCUGAGGCCAACUGUUCAGCUGGGACUGUGGAUAAGAAUCAAUUGUGUGUCUCAUGUCCAGAGGGAACAUAUUUGGAUUUUAGGAAUCACUGUGACGAGUGUUUGAAGUGGACAGAAUGUGGGCCCGGAAUGAUGGAAAACCCAGCCCUUCUACCUAACAUUUUGAGGGAUAGAGAUUGCAUUCCAAUAACGGCAUUCACAGGCACUCAGUCCCUGAGUGCUCAGCCAGAAAUAUCUGAUAACAUUUCAACAUCAACUGCAGAUGCAUCCAACGAAAUGAAUAUGUCCCACCCCAUGGGAAAUUCUUCGUUGCCUGCUCCACAGCCAAUGGAUGAUGAUGAUAUCGGUUACAAGGCGGCCAUCGGGGGCUUAGCUGGCUUAGUUCUUGUCCUCAUUGUAAUUCUGGUUGUCAUAGCAGUCAAAUGCCACCUUGGGAGGAAAUCAGUGGAAUGGAAACGGGACUGUGACCAGCAACAAGAACAGCCCCAGGAACCACAGAUUCAUCGGAAUGCAAGAGGGGCAUCUGCUGACAACAGAGAUGAUGCUGAUGGAAAUCAAGAAGAAGAAGCACGUCAUCUUCUUGCUGAAGAUCCCCCUCCCUCAUCAUCUUCAAGGGGCGAUGGACAGGCCCACAGUGCUGAGGCUAGCCGUGCAACAGUGAUGGUACACCCUCCCCCGGCCAGUGUCAACAGUCCUCCAACCAGUGGCCCAGUAAAUUGUGGGAGCCCAGAUGCAGCUUCAAAUGACAUUUUGGCCGACUCUUACCUCUCCUGGCUUGCUAAACAAAUUACGCCAAAAGAGAAAGUUGCCUUGAGCACUCAGCUGGGAUUCAACGAUGCCCAGCUGAAAUGUGUUGAGACAGAGUAUCAAGGUGACACCCGUCGACAGAAUUACGAGAUGCUGCUCAACUGGCGUAAGCGAGCAGAAGGGGACGGUCUGUCCAAAGUCAGGCAGCUCGGUCAAGCUCUAGCCAAUGAACAAGUCGGACGCACUGACCUUAGGGACGAGUUAUUCAGUCGUUAUGUAACAUUGGUGCUGGGUGGAUGGUUUUGUAUCACAACACCACCUUUGUUGUGUUGUCAGCCCUUUUUGUGUGAAAAACCAGAGCCUGUUUUGCUGACGGAUUUGACCAUACCCAGUUGUGCACUAAAGGUGCUUCUGUGAGGGGUGAUUGACGACAGUCAUUGGACGUUCCAGACAACUGUGGUAGAUGCUACCCUUUCUACAGUGUCAGUGACUACAUUUACAUGAAGUCCUCGGCGGCUUUGUUAUUUCAAGCGCAGUCUCCAUUAGUCCAGUACAAAGGACUUUUCCUGGCAGAAGUACCAAGCAAGUAUGCAUGUUCUCCAGGCAAGUGCAUAUUCAUGCUGAAAUUCAAGGGUUACAAGCCACAUCAUCCCAGAGACGGGUUUCACAGGACCAUAGCAGUAAACCUGAUGAGGAGAAUGAAGAAAGAGAAGAACGAUG